rnacentral:rRNA from 1 species
UACGUAGGGGGCAAGCGUUGUCCGGAAUCAUUGGGCGUAAAGAGCGUGUAGGCGGCUUGGCAAGUCUCGCGUGAAAUCCUGCGGCUCAACCGCAGGCGGUCGCGGGAAACUGCCUCGCUAGAGUCCGGAAGAGGAGAGUGGAAUUCCUGGUGUAGCGGUGGAAUGCGCAGAUAUCAGGAAGAACACCAAUGGCGAAGGCAGCUCUCUGGGACGGUACUGACGCUGAGACGCGAAAGCGUGGGGAGCGAACAGG